rnacentral:rRNA from 1 species
CUGGCUCAGGAUGAACGCUAGCGGCAGGCUUAAUACAUGCAAGUCGAACGGAAAUCCCGCCUUCAGGCGGGAUCGAGUGGCGCACGGGUGCGUAACACGUAUGCAACCUACCCUUAACUGGGGAAUAACCCUGUGAAAGCGGGGCUAAUACCCCAUAACAUUAUGGUAAGGCAUCUUACUAUUAUCAAAGAUUUAUCGGUUAGGGAUGGGCAUGCGCCCCAUUAGUUAGUUGGUUAGGUAACGGCUAACCAAGACUGUGAUGGGUAGGGGUUCUGAGAGGAUUAUCCCCCACACUGGUACUGAGACACGGACCAGACUCCUACGGGAGGCAGCAGUAAGGAAUAUUGGGCAAUGGACGCAAGUCUGACCCAGCCAUGCCGCGUGCAGGAUGACGGCCUUAUGGGUUGUAAACUGCUUUUGUAUGGGAUUAAAGUGUUGUACGUGUACGACAUUGCAAGUACCAUACGAAUAAGCAUCGGCUAACUCCGUGCCAGCAGCCGCGGUAAUACGGAGGAUGCAAGCGUUAUCCGGAAUCAUUGGGUUUAAAGGGUGCGUAGGUUGAUUAUUAAGUCAGUGGUGAAAAUUCCGGGCUCAACCCGGGACUUGCCGUUGAAACUGAUAAUCUUGAGUGUAACUGAUGUGGGCGGAAUGUGUCAAGUAGCGGUGAAAUGCAUAGAUAUGACACAGAACACCGAUAGCGAAGGCAGCUCACAAAAUUACAACUGACACUGAGGCACGAAAGCGUGGGUAUCAAACAGGAUUAGAUACCCUGGUAGUCCACGCUGUAAACGAUGAUCACUAGCUGUUUGCGAUACAUUGUCAGUGGUUAAGCGAAAGCGAUAAGCGAUCCACCU